rnacentral:pre_miRNA from 1 species
CAGGACUUAACCCACUUGUGAACAAUGCAUCGAACUUCAAUGUUCACAGUGGUUAAGUUCUGCC